GACGUAGGAGGCGAGCGUUGUCCGGAGUUACUGGGCGUAAAGGGUGCGCAGGCGGCCCCUUAAGGUGGCGGUGAAAGCUCCUGGCUCAACUGGGAGAGGGCCGUGACGACUGGGGGCUUGAGGCUCGGAGAGGGACGUGGAAUUCCGGGUGGAGCGGUGAAAUGCGUAGAGAUCCGGAAGAACACCGACGGCGAAGGCAGCGUCCUGGCCGAGUACUGACGCUCAGGCACGAA
rnacentral:rRNA from 1 species